rnacentral:rRNA from 1 species
GAUGAACGCUGGCGGCGUGCCUAAUACAUGCAAGUCGAGCGAACGGACGAGAAGCUUGCUUCUCUGAUGUUAGCGGCGGACGGGUGAGUAACACGUGGAUAACCUACCUAUAAGACUGGGAUAACUUCGGGAAACCGGAGCUAAUACCGGAUAAUAUUUUGAACCGCAUGGUUCAAAAGUGAAAGACGGUCUUGCUGUCACUUAUAGAUGGAUCCGCGCUGCAUUAGCUAGUUGGUAAGGUAACGGCUUACCAAGGCAACGAUGCAUAGCCGACCUGAGAGGGUGAUCGGCCACACUGGAACUGAGACACGGUCCAGACUCCUACGGGAGGCAGCAGUAGGGAAUCUUCCGCAAUGGGCGAAAGCCUGACGGAGCAACUCCGCGUGAGUGAUGAAGGUCUUCGGAUCGUAAAACUCUGUUAUUAGGGAAGAACAUAUGUGUAAGUAACUGUGCACAUCUUGACGGUACCUAAUCAGAAAGCCACGGCUAACUACGUG